rnacentral:rRNA from 1 species
UACGGAGGGUGCGAGCGUUGUCCGGAAUCAUUGGGCGUAAAGGGCGCGUAGGCGGCUCGGCACGUCCGUUGUGAAAUCGCUCGGCUCAACUGGGCGAGGUCAGCGGAUACGGUCGAGCUUGAGCCAGCUAGGGGGCAAUGGAAUUCCCGGUGUAGUGGUGGAAUGCGUAGAUAUCGGGAGGAACACCAGUGGCGAAGGCGGUUGCCUGGGGCUGUGCUGACGCUGAUGCGCGAAAGCGUGGGGAGCGAUCCGG